GUUGGAGUGGGGAGGCCAUUGGGUGUGACGUCACGGCGGGGUAAACAUCCCGGAAGUGAGGAGGUGAUGCGACUGAUCUAUUGGAUUAAAAAAGGAAACUGUGGACGUCGUGUCCUCCGGACCAAAGAGGAAAAGAACCAUCCGGAUUGUUCUAAGCGCAAAGUGUAAAAAGGCAGCAUGUGUGAUGGUAUGGGGG